rnacentral:rRNA from 1 species
AUUGAACGCUGGCGGCAUGCCUUACACAUGCAAGUCGAACGGCAGCACGGGAGCAAUCCUGGUGGCGAGUGGCGAACGGGUGAGUAAUAUAUCGGAACGUGCCCAGUCGUGGGGAUAACGUAGCGAAAGCUACGCUAAUACCGCAUACGAUCUAUGGAUGAAAGCGGGGGAUCGCAAGACCUCGCGCGAUUGGAGCGGCCGAUAUCAGAUUAGGUAGUUGGUGAGGUAAAGGCUCACCAAGCCGACGAUCUGUAGCUGGUCUGAGAGGACGACCAGCCACACUGGGACUGAGACACGGCCCAGACUCCUACGGGAGGCAGCAGUGGGGAAUUUUGGACAAUGGGCGCAAGCCUGAUCCAGCAAUGCCGCGUGCAGGAUGAAGGCCUCGGUUGUAACUAGCUUUUGUUACGGUAACGGAAACGGUACGGA